rnacentral:rRNA from 1 species
UGCGAGUUGAAUGGGAUACCUUAAAGUUCCCAUAGCAAACUGCUCAGUAACACAUGAUCAACUUACCCUAUAGAGAAAAAUAACCUCGGGAAACUGAGGAUAAUGUUUCAUAACUGAAUUGGCUUGGAAAAGUUUUUCAGUGAAAGGGGUAAAAUAAAUGGUUUUUAUCUGCUAUAGGAUAGGAUCGUGUUCAAUUAUGGUUGUUGGUGAGGUAAUGGCUCACCAAGCCGAUAAUCGAUAGGGGCCGUGAGAGCGGGAGCCCCGAGAUGGGUACUGAGACAACGACCCAGGCCUUACGAGGCGCAGCAGGCGCGAAACCUCCGCAAUACACGAAAGUGUGACGGGGUUACCCAAAGUGUUCAAUUUUGAACUGUGGUAGGUGAGUAAUGUUCCCUACUAGAAAGGAGAGGGCAAGGCUGGUGCCAGCCGCCGCGGUAAAACCAGCUCUUCAAGUGGUCGGGAUAAUUAUUGGGCUUAAAGUGUCCGUAGCCGGUUUAGUAAGUUCCUGGUAAAAUCGGGUAGCUUAACUAUCUAUAUGCUAGGAAUACUGCUAUACUAGAGGGCGUGAGAGGUCUGAGGUACUACAGGGGUAGGGGUGAAAUCUUAUAAUCCUUGUAGGACCACCAGUGGCGAAGGCGUCAGACUGGAACGCGCCUGACGGUGAGGGACGAAAGCCAGGGGAGCGAACCGGAUUAGAUACCCGGGUAGCCCUGGCCGUAAACGAUGCAUACUAGGUGAUGGCACGGCCAUGAGCCGUGUCAGUGCCGUAGGGAAACCGUUAAGUGUGCCGCCUGGGAAGUACGGUCGCAAGGCUAAAACUUAAAGGAAUUGGCGGGGGAGCACCACAAGGGGUGAAGCCUGCGGUUCAAUUGGAGUCAACGCCGGA